GAUGAACGCUAGCUACAGGCUUAACACAUGCAAGUCGAGGGGUAACGAGAGGAAAGCUUGCUUUCCUUGUCGACGACCGGCGCACGGGUGAGUAACGCGUAUCCAACCUGCCCCCAACUAGGGAAUAACCUUGCGAAAGUAAGACUAAUACCCUAUAAUUUCCUCAGCUGUCAUCUGACGAGGAAUAAAGAUUUAUCGGCUGUGGAUGGGGAUGCGUCUGAUUAGGUUGUUGGCGGGGUAACGGGCCACCAAGGCAACGAUCAGUAGGGGUUCUGAGAGGAAGGUCCCCCACAUUGGAACUGAGACACGGUCCAAACUCCUACGGGAGGCAGCAGUGAGGAAUAUUGGUCAAUGGGCGGAAGCCUGAACCAGCCAAGUAGCGUGCAGGAUGACGGCCCUAUGGGUUGUAAACUGCUUUUAUACAGGAAUAAAGUUAGCCACGUGUGGUUAUUUGUAGGUACUGUAUGAAUAAGGACCGGCUAAUUCUGUGCCAGCCGCCGCCGUAA
rnacentral:rRNA from 1 species